rnacentral:rRNA from 1 species
ACGGGAGGCAGCAGUGGGGAAUAUUGGACAAUGGGCGCAAGCCUGAUCCAGCCAUGCCGCGUGUGUGAAGAAGGCCUUCGGGUUGUAAAGCACUUUCAGUGGUGAGGAAGGGAUGCAUGUUAAUAGUAUGCAUCAUUGACGUUAGCCACAGAAGAAGCACCGGCUAACUCCGUGCCAGCAGCCGCGGUAAUACGGAGGGUGCGAGCGUUAAUCGGAAUUACUGGGCGUAAAGCGCACGUAGGCGGUUUGUUAAGCUAGAUGUGAAAGCCCAGGGCUCAACCUUGGAAUUGCAUUUAGAACUAGCAGGCUAGAGUUUUGAAGAGGGUGGUAGAAUUUCCAGUGUAGCGGUGAAAUGCGUAGAUAUUGGAAGGAAUAUCAGUGGCGAAGGCGGCCACCUGGUCAAAAACUGACGCUGAGGAGCGAAAGCGUGGGGAGCAAACAGGAUUAGAUACCCUGGUA